rnacentral:rRNA from 1 species
UACGUAGGUCCCGAGCGUUGUCCGGAUUUAUUGGGCGUAAAGCGAGCGCAGGUGGUUUAUUAAGUCUGGUGUAAAAGGCAGUGGCUCAACCAUUGUAUGCAUUGGAAACUGGUAGACUUGAGUGCAGGAGAGGAGAGUGGAAUUCCAUGUGUAGCGGUGAAAUGCGUAGAUAUAUGGAGGAGCACCGGUGGCGAAAGCGGCUCUCUGGCCUGUAACUGACACUGAGGCUCAAAAGCGUGGGGAGCAAACAGG